GGGACACUGUCAAAGAAGAGAAUCCCUCCCUGUUUGGGAUGGCCUGGGAUCGUUAUUAGCUGUUAGUGCUAGAACACAGCUUUAAUGGUGAAGAGUUCAGUCAACACAGACGCUGACAGUGUAGUGCAGAGCAGGCUGCAACAGGUUGCUGCCAACAGCUGUAAUUAUGAUCAGGAGACUCUAGUUUCUGUGAGAGUGGUGGGAUGUUUGUGAACAUUUGAAUGUAUUUUUAAGAGGCACUUGCUGGAGGGAGAACAUGGUUAGGUAACAGGUUGUAUCAGUUAUCUGACUGGGAACGGGGCGGAUAGAGUGACGGAGUCGUGAAGGGAGGCUAACAGAAUGACAGGCAGAGAGGCAGGCUGAGCGACAGACCGACACAGAGACAGGUAGGCAUGGAGUCAUGGAGCCAGGCUGUCGGCGGGGGCAGACCCACCCUGGGUAGCUGCUUCCCUCCCUGUUGGAGUGGCAGAUGUGUGGUGAAUCUUUAACACUCCUAACAGCUCCUCACUCCCACUGUCACCGCAUCUGUCCCCGGCAAUGUCCCCUCCUCAGUCCCCCUUGGCUCAGCCCCCUCCUGUGUGAAUGCAGGACAACCAAAAGGAGAUAUCAGUGGACUUAUUGAUUAGUCCAGCCUGCACUGGCUAGCUUCAUUUAAUGACCUCUGGGACUCAUUAUUGACAAGGCUUUGUCUUUGUGAUUAGUUCAUUCUUUCACUGGGCAUAUGGUAAUCCUGUGUCUAACUCAGUGGGAAAAUUGAAUCAGAACGUCUGUAGCCUAAUGGAUCAAUGCAAAAAGAAAUGUACUUGUUGAUCUAUGUAGAAUUCUGAACAUAUUUGAGUGUGUUGACAUGGAUCAAGUGGAAACAGACAUUUGAACAAUGAUAAGUGGGUCAUGUUAGCGGGACAACAACAACAGAAUCUAAGAGGCCAAUACGCUCUCAACCGAACAGCAUCCCGUCUCAUUGUCUGCCUUAAACCCCACUGCAAGAAAACAUAUCCCUGCCACAGCUGUAAUAGAUGAUAAGCAGGAUUUUAUCCUCAUCCGUAUGAUCAGCCUAAUCUUCUCAGACGCCCCAGCAUUAGACUCGCCGUCCCCCGUCCCCUGUCUCUCUCUCCCACUCAGCUCAGCUCGGCUCAGCCUGGCCCGGGCCCUGGCGAGAGCUGGUUUAUUUUAAUUGAAAAUUAGCAAAACAAAACAAGGGCAAGAGGAUCCCUGAAUGGGGCCCCUUUCUCUGGGAGCUCCUGUGCCGUUGAAUAAUGCAUAUGGGAGAAAGUAAACAGCAGCCGCGGGCCCAGCCCAGGGAACAAUGAGCCGCACACAGCCCAACCACGGCGCCUGAUUUUAUUACGGCCCUGUCAGUCCCCCACCUCCCUCCAUCCAACCCUCCACUACCUCCUCUAGCCUGGGAAUCGUGGGACCCAGGCCAGGCAGCAGCUGCUGACCGCUCCACACUGACCCAACACACUCUGCGACCUGCAGGAUAACUCCGCACACACACCCACCCAGCACACACCACCGCCGAAUACCUCCACUGUCACAGCCUGCCUGCUUUCCUGCCCGCCUACCACCACUGCAGUGUAUACAUAUACACAGUCACAUAAGGCAGCAACUGGUUGGUUACAUCCAGAUGGUGUCUUAGGAGUAAGUGUAUGCAUUCCGCGGAUGCUGUGCGUGCUGAAUGUUAGAAAAGAUUACAUUUAUGUUGAAGUUUUUCUCUUGACCAACUCCAACCCCCAUUUCUGAGAUCUUGGCUUGGACAGUGAAGGGUCACUGUGGCCACUUGUGAACUUUUCUCUCCACGAGAACAUUCUGUGUGUUCUCUCUCCCCGACCAGGCAGGCAUUAAGAUUCCAGUCUUGCCUCUGGCUUCAGCUUGGGCCGGUUGCCAUGCCGACAGGCAAAUUGGCUAGCAGGAUGAGUAAUGAUGUGAUGUGGCUCUAAAGUCCCAACGAAGACCUUAUUACAGACCAAGCUUUUCAUAACACGCUAUUGUUGUCAAGUGCUCCUGAUAUUAACCUACAUUCACUGGCACUUCCUCCUCCUGCUGCUCUAGACGUGAGUGUGUGUGGAAAAGGGUUGUGUGUGUGUGUGUGGAAAAGGGUUGUGUGUGUGUGUGUGGAAAAGGGUUGUGUGUGUGUGUGUGUGAAAAGGGGUUGUGUGUGUGUGUGUGGAAAAGGGUUGUGUGUGUGUGUGUGUGUGUGGAAAAGGGUUGUGUGUGUGUGUGUGGAAAAGGGUUGUGUGUGUGUGUGUGGAAAAGGGUUGUGUGUGUGUGUAACCACACUUGUGGUUGGACACCAGAAGUCAUACUAAAGCUUGUCUACAGUCACAACGACAGUAGAUUAAUACUGAAUAGAAUACGGAAGGAUUUUCCUAUUCUUUUAGAUACGUAAUGUUUUAGCAGGUUUGUUUACAUGAUGUCUCUCUCUCUCUCUCUCUCUCUCUCUCUCUCUCUCUCUCUUUCUCUCGCCUUCUCUCUCUUGUCUCUCAUCUCUCUCUCCCACCAGGUGGCUGCAGGAUGUUUGAGUUGGUUUAUCGACAUCUGACAGAGAUGACAGAGAUGAGACACCAUGGAGAUGAGAGAACAGAUAGGAACAGAUAGGACUCAGGCAUGGGGCGGCAGGGUAGCCUAGUGGUUAGAGCGUCGGACUAGUAACCGGAAGGUUGCAAGUUCAAACCCCUGAGGUGACAUAUGUUGUUCUGCCCCUGAACCCACUGUUCCUAGGCCGUCAUUGAAAAUAAGAAUUUGUUCUUAA
ensembl:lncRNA